rnacentral:rRNA from 1 species
AGGUUAAGCCUCUGGUGUAGCCGUAGCGAAAGCGAGUCUGAAUAGGGCAUUCAGUCGCCGGCGACAGACCCGAAACCGAGUGAUCUAUCCCUGUCCAGGUUGAAGCCUGGGUAAGACCAGGUGGAGGACCGAACCAAUGUGCCUUAAAAAGUGCUUGGAUGAGGUGGGGAUAGGAGUGAAAGGCUAAUCAAACUCGGAGAUAGCUGGUUCUCCCCGAAACCUAUUUAGGUAGGGCCUCGUGGUAGGCCGCCGGAGGUAGAGCACUGGAUGGACUAGGGCCCCCACCAGGGUACCAAACCCAACCAAACUGCGAAUGCCGGUAAGUCGUUCCGCGGGAGUCAGACGGCGGGAGCUAACUUUCGUCGUCGAAAGGGAAACAACCCAGACCGUCAGCUAAGGCCCCCAAGUCAUGGCUAAGUGGGAAAGGAAGUGGGAACGCCCAGACAACCAGGAGGUUAGCUUAGAAGCAGCUACCCUUUAAAGAAAGCGUAAUAGCUCACUGGUCAAGCGGGCCUGCACCGAAAAUAUAACGGGGCUUAAGCCAUGCGCCGAAGCUGCGGAUCGUCCUUCGGGACGAUGGUAGGGGAGCGUUCCUCGUGCGGAGAAGCUGUGGUGGAAACCAUGGUGGAGCGCGGGGAAGUGAGGAUGUUGGCAUGAGUAACGAAAAUGCGGGCGAGAAACCCGCACGCCGAAAGUCCAAGGGUUCCUGGGCCAGGUUAAUCCGCCCAGGGUUAGUCGGCACCUAAGGCGAGGCCGAAAGGCGUAGUCGAAGGAAAACCGGUUCAUAUUCCGGUACUUGCGGUGACGCGUGAUGGAGGGACGCAGGAGGAUAGGUCGGCCGGGUGAUGGAUGUCCCGGUUUAAGGCGGUAGCCGGAAGCUCUAGGCAAAUCCGGAGCUUCAACGGCGAGAGCUGAUGACGAGAGGCUUUGCCUCACAAAGCGAUUGAUUCCACACUGCCAAGAAAAGCUUCUAAGCAUAGUCACGGCAAACCGUACCCCAAACCGACACAGGUGGACAGGUAGAGAAUACCAAGGCGCUUGAGAGAAACCAUGUUAAGGAACUCUGCAAAUUAACUCCGUACCUUUGGAAGAAGGAGUGCCCACAAAGUGAAGGGGCUUGCCCCCGGAGCUUAGCUGGGUCGCAGUGACCAGGCCUGGCCGACUGUUUAGCAAAAACAUAGCACUCUGCAAACUCGCAAGAGGAAGUAUAGGGUGUGACGCCUGCCCGGUGCCGGAAGGUUAACAGGAGAGGUCAGCUUCGGCGAAGCCUCGAAUCGAAGCCCCGGUAAACGGCGGCCGUAACUAUAACGGUCCUAAGGUAGCGAAAUUCCUUGUCGGGUAAGUUCCGACCUGCACGAAUGGCGUAACGAUCCGGGCGCUGUCUCAACGUGGUUCUCAGUGAAAUUGAAAUAGCGGUGAAGAUACCGUUAACCCGCAGCAAGACGGAAAGACCCCGUGAACCUUUACUGCAGCUUGGCAGUGGAUUCGGGAAGAGCUUGUGUAGGAUAGGUGGGAGGCUUAGAAGUCGGUGCGCCAGCGCCGGUGGAGCCGUCCUUGAAAUACCACCCUGGUUUUUUCGGAAUUCUAACCUCGUCCCGUGAUCCGGGACAGGGACCCUGCCUGGUGGGCGGUUUGACUGGGGCGGUCGCCUCCCAAAGCGUAACGGAGGCGCGCAAUGGUUCCCUCAGAGUGAUUGGAAACCACUCGUAGAGUGCAAAGGCAUAAGGGAGCCUGACUGCGAGAGAGACAUCUCAAGCAGGGACGAAAGUCGGUCUUAGUGAUCCGGUGG